rnacentral:lncRNA from 1 species
AAAACGUUGUAACCCCUCUUCGUAAAACCUGUAUACUUUCCCAGAAAUGUAAAAUAUAAAUAUACAUAUAUAUUCUCAAUACUUCAAUUCAUUAACUCAACAUUUUUCAGUACAAAUAUGCCAUGCCAUGUCGGAAUUCAACAGUUAAUUAUGGAUGCAUCAACAAUAAUCAUAUCAGGUGUAAGAAAGUGAUCAACCGGAGGCCCUCUAAUAGCCCUGUACGGUUGAACCUAGAGCUCAAAAUCUAUCACUAUCACUCUGCCGGAGUCACCUCUGUGACCUGUACGGCCUUCUGCACAUAAGUUACGCUCUAGUGCUUUCUCAUUAAUCAUCUGUGCACAUAAUCUAAGGUCACCCACCAGUCGAAAUCUCACUAACACUCUUCGACUGGCCCGUCGCACCCACUCCGCGUGGACUGUGCGACCAGCAUCUACUUGGAUCCAAGGCGAGCGUGCGAUGCGGUGAAUACUAUAAGCACUAAACUAUGGUGCAGGAUUUGAGCUCAAUAUACAUCAACAUCAUCAUAUCAGUAUUUAAAUACUCACCUGAUACUCACCUGUGCGUCCGCCGCACCAUUCAUUCAUAUGCAUCAUAUCUCAAUUCAUACUUUUCAUAUCAUUUCAUGCAUGGCAAUUCGAUUCACAUUUCUAUAUACUAUGCAUAUACUUUUAUGCAUGGCAUCUCAAUUCACAUUUCAAUAUACUUUUCAUAUAAUUUUAUACAUUGCAUUUAAAGCAUAAUUUCAUGCAUUUUCAAUUUCUGGGAAAACGGUAAGUAUAUAUGUAUACGGAAAACAAAACUGCCCACUCACCUGGAGUUCGCCCUACAACUCCCUAGCACAAUACGCCAAGCGUCAUGACGAUCGGCGCCUAAAACAAUAAUCAAUUCCAACCUCAGAAUUCAUAUCGAUAGAAUAUAUAACUUAUACAAAAUACGUCACUACGUAGUUCAAUCCGGAAGAUCCACCACUCAGAUUUUAAAUCCAUAACUUCCAGAGGUCCACAAUAUAUCUCUAGGAUAACUUCCUAAAAUUUCAUUACCAUCCAACGGUCGGAUCUCCGUCAAUUUCCAAAACUAAGUGACGGUUAACAUUUUAUUUUAUGAACUUACAACUCCAAUUCCGGAAGAUCCGUAACUCGGAUUCCCAAUCCGUAAGUUCCAAUAAUCCUCAAACAUUACGUAUUGCAACGUAUUAAAUUUUGGUAACGAUCCAACGGUCGGAUCAUCAAUUCACAUUUUCACCUAAUGCGAAAACUAUAAAACGUUAUUCGAACACCUAACCAACAAUCCUUAAUAACUUUCUCAUACGGUGCUCAAUUUGGGUAUAUGAAUAUACCACAGUGAUCUACUCGACGUCACGGACGUCGACAUAUUUUUAAAAUAAUAUUUUAAUGUAUCACGCGCCCCCACGCGCCAAGGAAGGCACGGGUCCACGCGCGCCCACGCGCACCUUCUUCCUCGCGGGUUCGCCGGACUGGUUUUUCCGGUGGCCGGAAAACUGGGGAAUUUUCAAAUGCUUCGUUCUCCUUCGUUUCUCAACCAUUUUCUUCGUAUAAUAUAUCAAUUUAAAGCCCUCAACAAGAAUCACAAUAUACUACUUUUAAGCUUCAAAAACAACUAAAUCUCACCGGAAAAAUCCAAGCAAAACCGGCCAAACUUAACCCUCGUGAUCCCGACGUCCAAAUCCUUCCAACGAAGCACUCCGAGCUUCCUUGGGACCUCACUAAGCUCGCUGUGAUCUUGUUUUAGCCUAAAUCGUAACCAUUUAAAAGAUCAUGAACAGUACAUAAACACGGGACCUUAAAAACUAGGGUUUUCCGAAGCAAAACUUACCUGAAAUGGAUACCAUCGUGAUCGUGAAGUCUUCAGGGUUCCAAUGGUGGUCUUAGAUUCGUCGUUGGUAUAGAUUUAGGGUGGUUUUGUGGUGGUCCGUGUGAGUUCGAAUGAGAGGGAGAGAGAACUGAGAGUUUCGUGAGGGAGGAGAGAGAGAGUGACAAGGUACGGGAAUUGGGGAAGGUUUUGAGGGAUGUGGGAUCCCCCCGUGUCCAACUCAAUCUCAAUUUCAAACUUUUAACAUAGAGUCUUGGUUUAGGUUUCUAAAACCAAUUAAUAUUCCAAUUCACCAAAGUUUAAGAACCUUAAGUAAAAACAAGUGUCCAAAUUACGUACUUUAGUCCCGUUUAGGGACAUUUUCGUAACUUCACGUCCUCGGAAUUAAAAAUUCCGGGACGGGCUGUGACAAUCUUCCCUCCUUAUAGAAUUUCGUCCCCGAAAUUCCAGCAAUCAACUAAAUCAACCAUACUCCAACAAUAGCCUCAAAUAAAUCUCUCUCAUCCGAUUCUCUUUCUCCCACAUAAUUUUCUACUGAAUGAUUUCCUUCACAAGCUUUUACCACUAUUCUGUCUUAAUUCUCAGGACCUUCUUUUUCCAAUCCCAAGUCGUCCAUAGCUCCUUACUAAUCAGAUCCGGCUUAAUUCUCAAUAGUUGCACCAAAGUCCCAUGUAACGACUCUGCCACUUAGUGACAACGCAUCGAACACAAAAUACAUUAUGUGCCUUAGCCAAUUCUGAAGGCAUCACAAACUUGUAUGCAACUUCGUCGAUUCCUUUAAUGAUCAAAACGGACUGAUGUGUUCAAGACUUAUCUUGUCUCCCUUUCUGAAUCUUACUAUUUCUGUUCAUGGUGAAAUUUCCAAAAAUAUCAAACCAUUUACCUUACACACUUGAUUAGUGGCAUAUCCAUCUGUUAAUCUCUUUUGUCAUUCCUGGCUACUUUCAGGUUAACUUACUCACCUGAAUAUUUUGAGGAGACUCAUCCAUAGUCUCAGGGCCCGCAAGAACUCUUUUGACAACUUCUGUCCAACACAAAGGUGUACUAUAAGGUAACUUGGUAACCAAGCUUCUUGUACGCUAUCCAAAACUUAGAAGUAACCAACAUACUCAAAAACUUAACAGUGUACAUCGUCAAAAUUGCUUUCUUUAAUUCCACAUAAUUUGGCACAUACGUCCCAUUCUCUUGCAUAAACAUACCAUCCAAUUCUGCCUCGGUUAAUUCUUGAAUUCCUUCGUCAAGCAUUUGAGUCUCGAGUACGACCUUACCAAAUAGGCCUAACUUGAAAUUUAACAAGUACAACUUCUUCUCGAUCUUCCAUUCUUAAUUUUUUUUUUCCGUUGGUUUUCAAUCCCCAAGAUGAUACUCUUGGCAAACAUGCCAGACAUUAAUCUUACUGUAGUCUUCUCACCAAGUGCUUCAGCUAGAACAAACUUUACGAUCACCCUGAUCGUACAAUCAUGUUCAUUAAGCAAUACAAGUCACAUUCGCUGCCUCAUAUCAAAAUCCUUCCGAGUAAUGAAUAUUGAAGACUUUUUGGAUUCGUAAAAAUCUUGCAUUCUUACCAAAUAUAAUGCCUUCAUAACUUCACAGCAAGAAUGGUAAUCAUGACUUCCAAGUCACCCGUAGGGUAAUUCAUCUCAUGAGAUUCCAUUUGUCAUGAAACGUAUGCAAUCACCCUAACAUUUGCAUCAACAUGCCUCCAAUACCAUUCAAGAAACAUCACUAAAAAUUUAUGAUUACCACUAUCUUCUAGGAAUACCAAAAUACGUGCAUGAGUGAGGAAAUACUUCAGUUGUUGAAUCCUUUGCUCACAAUUUCCUUCCCACUCAUACAUGACCUCUUUUCUCAACAGUCUCGUCAAUGACAAAGCAAUGACUGAAAAAUCUUUCACAACCAUCCAAGAUAGCCUGGUAAGCUAAGAAAUUCCAAAUCUCAAUUACGACUCGUGGUUGUUCCAAAUUUUAAUUUCUGUUACCUUUUAAGGUUUCACUUGAAUACCUUAAGAAUAUAUAACAUAUCCCAGAAAUGCUGCUUGAUUCAUCCAACAUUCGCAUUUGCUAAACUUAGCAUACAAUCGACAUUCUUCCAAUCUUUGUUCUACCGACUUAAUACGUUUACAUGCUCUGCUCUGGCUCAGAAUAUGCCAGAAUAUCUUCAAUGAAAAUGAUAUCUAUUUAUCAAGGCAUUAUUGGAAUACUUCAUCCAAUAAUUCAUAAAACAGCAUGAGUAUCCAUAUAGCAUCACCAAAUUUCAUAAAAACUAUAACGAGUCCAGAAAAACAAUCUUAGGAACAACGUUACUCAUAAUCUUCAAUUGAUAAUAAACAGACCUCAAGAUCCAUUUUCUUCCUCACCAACAAAUUGGGGCUCCUCAAAAGUGUUGUACUAGGUUGAAUAAAACUUUUAUCAACCAAUUCUCUCAACUGAAUUUCCAAUUCCCUUAACUCAUCAUGAACCAAUCUUUAACAUAAAUUUAUACCUGGCAACAAUUCAAUAGUGAACCUCAUAUCUCUGCCUGAAGGCAAUCCAGGUAUACUUUCAAGGAAGACAUCAAGAAAAGUCUAACUCUUUCGACAUUAUUCACACUACUCCAAACAACAUCAUUUAGCACCACAUGAGCUAAGUAUUUUUGACAGCCUUUCGAAAACAAUCUCUUUGCUCUCACAGCAUAAAUAAUGGCUGAACUCAAUCCACUUUGCAUACUUACAAAAGUAAUCUCUGGUCAUCCAGAUCGAUGGAAAGUACUGGUUUCCCUUAACAUUCCGUCUUGUCACAAUUAUAACCAACCAAUCUAAUGGAACAGAAUUAACUGAUACAAUACAUACUCUAUUACUACUAAGCAUUCUGAAUAAGUACAACACUAACAUAAAAUAACCUACCGGUUUGCUUGCUUAAUGAAUCCACGAAUGAGUUAUUAAUAUUACGGUCUGCAGCCCGCAAUACUGAUAAAUCAUCGUUGUCUCAAUAAGUAGGCAACCACUCUCAAAGAUAUAACAUUACUAAUUUGUCACUCAAUGCAAAAUACAUACACUCGUCUCAACUACAUUUAUUUACUACUCUUUAGGUAAUAACAUACAUAAUAAGAAAUAUAUCAGCCGAAGUCAACUAGAAUGACCAAUACGGCUGAUUCAACUCUUAUCUCAAUAAUACGUCGGCCGGAUCCACUCCGCGUGGUCGGUACGGCCGAGCCUAUAACUCACCAAUUUCUCAUGCGUCAGCCAGAUCCACCUCUCAUGGUCUGUACGGCUGAACAUAUAACUCAUCAAAUCUCUCUGUACCCACGGUCAAUCCGACCAAACUACUAAGUCCAUAAACCUGCUGAAUUGAUACUACGAUGUCAUAGAAAAUUGUUGGGUACAACUGAUUUUAGGGACGAUUCACAAUUCUGUGUCCCCUCUGUUCACAUAAACACAUUUAUUAAUUUCACACUUCCCAAAGUGUUAAUUUUUGUACCUGCUGCACAAGGUACAUUUCCUUUACUCGAAACACCUUGUCUCAAAUAUCUGGGAUUACCAGUAUAUCCAUCACUUUUACUCUGACCAGCGACAUUAAAACCUCAGCUGGAAGAAUUAAUUCUAGCUUCACUUCUUUCGAAGCUCUGAAUCUUUCUAUAUCCUUGAUAUGACGAAUCAUUAACUUUAUCGUCAACUUCCUUGAUUCACAUUUGCAAACUCUUGCUUACUACCAUCGAUAAAUGCCGGAGGGAUAAACUUUUCCUUAAACAAGUCCUUAAACAAUUCUCAAUCGACUAUUCCUCCGGUGACAACAAAUCAUACUCCUGUUUCCACCAGUAUACAAAUUCAUACCCAAAACCAGGUAGUCGUCUCGACCCCCUGUCAGAAGGAAGAUUCCUUUGACUUGCAUAAUCUGAAACAUCUUUUCCAAAUGGUUAAACCGUUACUUCGCUCCCUCAGGUUCAUCAUUUCAUAAGGUGAUUCAAAUUCGACUCAUAACCCGUCUUAAAAUGUCCCUUUAGACAAUAGACUGAAUCACCAUAGUAAUAGUUUCCCCCUAAACCGCUAAAUCAGGGAGACUAAGUUCCUCUAACUACGUGGCUUGCUACGAGGCGGUGUAGUUCUGACAGAAUUCACUAGAACUUCUCAAAAUGUCCAAGAUUGCAACCAUGCUCUGAUACCAACUGACACACCCCGUCCCGAAGGAGGGCAUGCUGGCCGUCACGUGAGAGUGACGUAACCAUUUGCACAGUACGGAAGCUUUAAGAUACAAUUUAUAAGUUGAUACACCCGAAGGUGAGUCCUAAUUUUGUCCAAUCUGUCAGAACACCGUCGAAUUCCUCGUAGUCACCACACCUUUGUGAUUCCUGAACCUGGAGGGGCGCAAAACCAAAAUUGAGUGGGUCAGUAAAACAAUUCUUUUCCAAAUCCAAACAUUUCUCAAAACGUUGUAACCCCUCUCCGUAAAACCUGUAUACUUUCCCAGAAAUGUAAAAUAUAAAUAUACAUAUAUAUUCUCAAUACUUCAAUUCAUUAACUCAACAUUUUUCAGUACAAAUAUGCCAUGCCAUGUCGGAAUUCAACAGUUAAUUAUGGAUGCAUCAACAAUAAUCAUAUCAGGUGUAAGAAAGUGAUCAACCGGAGGCCCUCUAAUAGCCCUGUACGGUUGAACCUAGAGCUCAAAAUCUAUCACUAUCACUCUGCCGGAGUCACCUCUGUGACCUGUACGGCCUUCUGCACAUAAGUUACGCUCUAGUG